rnacentral:rRNA from 1 species
UACGUAGGGGGCAAGCGUUGUCCGGAAUCAUUGGGCGUAAAGAGCGUGUAGGCGGCCCGAUAAGUCCGCUGUGAAAGUCCAGGGCUCAACCCUGGGAUGCCGGUGGAUACUGUCGGGCUCGAGUCCGGAAGAGGCGAGUGGAACUCCUGGUGUAGCGGUGGAAUGCGCAGAUAUCAGGAAGAACACCAACGGCGAAGGCAGCUCGCUGGGACGGAACUGACGCUGAGGCGCGAAAGCGUGGGGAGCGAACAGG